rnacentral:lncRNA from 1 species
UUAUGGUAAUGAUAGUUGUGACAUAAAUAAAUGGAAGAACUAACAUUAUUUAAAUUAGUUGCAACACAUUAGAUUAUGCAUUUUAGGUAAAAAUGUAUUGCCUAAAUAAAAGCAGUGGAAUUUCUUCAAACAGGAUUUUAGAUUGGGGUAGAAUGAAAACACUAAGUAGAUUUGUGUACUAAGUACUAAUAACUGAAGAAAGGAAAAAUGCAAGUGCAUAUUUGAUGAUAACAUACUUUAAAAAGUCUACCAAGUACACUUUUAUGACAAGAAGAUUCCAUAAUAUUCAUUUUAGGGCUCUUAUUGUACAUUGUAGUCCAAUUAUUAGAUUGGAUUUGUAUACCUAGUUUCUUCCAUUCACCAUUUUAGUAACUGUUUUGGAAAACAUGAAUUUAACUGUAUUUUAACAAAUAAAAUUAGGCUUGAUAUUACUGACCACAUUAUCAAAAUUGAGCAUAAUGGCGUUUAAAACAUUGUCAUGGCAGAAUGUGUCAGUUAAAAUGAUAUUUUUUCAUUUGUAAAUUAGUCUUAUUUUGUGUUUAUGACUAUAUUAAAUAAAUACCAAAUUUUCAU